rnacentral:rRNA from 1 species
UACGAAGGGGGGCUAGCGUUGCUCGGAAUUACUGGGCGUAAAGCGCACGUAGGCGGAUUGUUAAGUCGGGGGUGAAAUCCUGGAGCUCAACUCCAGAACUGCCUUCGAUACUGGCGAUCUCGAGUUCGGGAGAGGUGAGUGGAACUGCGAGUGUAGAGGUGAAAUUCGUAGAUAUUCGCAAGAACACCAGUGGCGAAGGCGGCUCACUGGCCCGAUACUGACGCUGAGGCGCGAAAGCGUGGGGAGCAAACAGG